AAGUCGUAACAAGGUUUCCGUAGGUGAACCUGCAGAAGGAUCAUUAACACGUAUCCAUGAACCUUCAUCCUGCUCUUGUAACCCGCGUAGUUUGCAAUCUCUGAUAAAUCAUAGCCCGGAAAGUUGUAGUGAUUCAGAGACCUCUGGCUACUUGCGAACAUUGGAACAGUUACAAGCAGUCAGUGGCAUUCCUGUAGACCGUACACUCGGGCAGGAGCUUUGCCAAAGGGUCCCCAUGCCCCCUAAUAACCCCACAGUUUAAUGUGAAGCUCAAUGUAAUACAUUGGGUAAAAAAACCGAACAACUGUUAACAAUGGAUAUCUUGGUUCUC
rnacentral:misc_RNA from 1 species